rnacentral:misc_RNA from 1 species
ACACCUCAACUCCUCAUGGCUUGCCAUGAUGAGCUUGGACUUUGGGGGUCUUGCUGGCCUGCGGUCGGCUCCUCUCGAAUGAAUCAGCUUGCCAGUGUCUGGUGGCAUCACGGGUGUGAUAACUAUCUAUGCCUGUGGUUUUCUGCUAGGUAACCUUCAGCGAUGAAGGUUCGCUGGGGCUCAUAAACGUCUCUCCUCAGCGAGGACAGCUCUUUGAAC